CUUUCAUACCUUUUAGAGAGAAAAACACUUUGAUUCUAUCGAUUGGAUUUUUCCCGUGAAUAGCCGUCUCUAGUGAAUCGAGUUUUUGUCCAUCAUCUUGUGGCUCCGUUAGCCAAGAUAGCUAGCUUCUGUCUGGCAAAUCUAGCUUCUAUAAGCAGUUUUGGUGUUAGUCACUUAAAAUCAAUCUAUCGACUUGUAUCUCUGGAAGCUCGAUCUUGCAAAUCGCCUAAAGUAAAGAGAAGAAGAGUUGUUUCCAGCAAAUUUGGAUUGCCAUAGCCGUCUCUAGUUGUUUUUGAAUCUGGUGAAAAACAAAGUAAAUCGAUGUUUAAGAAAUUUACAGCAUCGAUUGAGUUCACCAGAAUCGGAAUCGUUGACGACAAAGAUUAACCGGAAUGUUUAACGCAUCUCUCAUACGUGUCUGUUUUUAUUACAUUUUUGGAUUGUAGGCCUGAACCUGUACACUUUGUUUAUGAAUCUUUAAUAAUAGAUAAAAUAAAACACUUAUUAUUCC